AGGCAGGGGGACUCCCGGAUGAGCACUUGGUCGCACCUCCCUCUCAGUUGCCGCGUGGUUUGGGGGUUUUGUCGUAACUGGCUUUUUCUGCUGUUUCCCCUCCCUGUGGUUAAAUCCAGUGCCAUCGCUGUUCUUGUGACGCCCGGCCUGAGGAUGCGAAGCGGAGUGGCAGGACGAACGCUGAGGCGAGUUCCGGGGCAAGCGAUGGGUCUCCGGCAGCGAGCUCUAAAAGGGAAUGGAGGACUUGAAGGAAAGAAGGGAUAAACGCGUGUGUCCUAGAAAUACUGAAGACAAAUCGGGCCAAAAGUAAAUUUACUAAGACGCACACACACACACGAAUGUAUUUUUUUCGCGUUUUACUUGGUCGUUCCCUAUUGCGGAGAUAAUGUAGGAGCUGUCGGGCAUAGGUAUGUGACUCCAAAGGAGCAUAAGUGAGUCUAAUAGGAGAAGACGUCGACUUUCAGUUCAACGAACAGUUUGUUUGUAAGACCCUUUCAAACAAUGCGGGAACUAAGAAGGAAAUAAGGAAUUACAUUCUUAGAGAUGUCAGAAGAAGAUUCCUGGGUCUUGGAAAAUGACCUGAAUAUGCAGAGGAGAAAGCCGUGGAGAUUUGAAGUUACUGGUGACCAAAGGAAUAAAGUUGCAGGAUGUUUUUCUUAAGAAAACAUUUGUAUGCUUUAUCUGAUUAAGAAAUCAAAGAUUUAUUUAAUAAGAAUCCUGCAUGAGUUGAUUAACCAUAAACCAUCUGGUGAAACUGCAAGCUGAGGUUAAGGAUGCUACUAUGAAAUUUGCACCCAGAUGCCAAGAGUUCCAGACAAUGCUGGCACCUCACAGUCAGGCAAGACAGCUGUGCGAAAAACUGUAGGAUGUGGAUGGAACGUAAAUGGAGUUCCAGAAGUAGUAGAUGACUCUGGGAAAUUGACACUGCCUCCACUGAAGAAGUAUUCCUGGGUAUGCAGCCAGAGGAAGUGAUGCAGAUGAGAAACUUCACUAAAGGAACUCUGUGAUUUUUCUGCCAUUGAAAGCACAAAUAAAACUUCAGAAGCUGGUCUAAAUCUGCCAUGGCAUAGAAAGGAAGCUCACAAAGAAAUAAAACACUAUCAUUCUCAA